UAGGGAAUCUUCGGCAAUGGGGGCAACCCUGACCGAGCAACGCCGCGUGAGUGAAGAAGGUUUUCGGAUCGUAAAGCUCUGUUGUAAGAGAAGAACGUGUGUGAGAGUGGAGAGUUCACACAGUGACGGUAACUUACCAGAAAGGGACGGCUAACUACGUGUCAG
rnacentral:rRNA from 1 species